rnacentral:ncRNA from 1 species
AUAAAUUUUAGUGUUAAUUUUUAUUUUAUUUUAAUAAUAAAUUUAUUUAUUAAGUAGUAAUUAAUAUUAAAAAUAUAAGUAAUUAAGAUUUAGUAAUAUUAAAAUUAAUAACAAAUUUUGUGCCAGCAGUUGCGGUUAAACAAAUAUUAAAUUAAAUUUUAUUAGUUAAUUAAUAAAUAUAUGUAUAUUAUAAUUUAAAAUUUAAAUUAUUAGGUGAAAUUUUAAUUUAAUUAAAAUUUAUUUUAUUUAUGUGAUUUAAUAAAUUUUAUAAUAAACUAGGAUUAGAUACCCUAUUAUAAAAAUUUUAAAAUAAAAUACUAAAAUAGUAGAUAAUUAUUUAUUGAAACUUAAAUAAUUUGGCGGUAUUUUAGUUCAUUUAGAGGAAUCUGUUUAAUAAUUGAUAAUCCACGAAUAAAUUUACUUAAUUUAAAAUUUUGUAUAUCGUUGUUAAAAAAAUAUUUUAUAAUAAUAAUAAUAUUUUAAUUUUAAAAUUAAAAGUUAAAUCAGAUCAAGAUGCAGAUUAUAAUUAAGAAUAUAAUGGAUUACAAUAAAAUUUAUUUAAAUGAAUAUUAAUUUGAAAAAAUUAUUUGAAAGUGGAUUUAAAUGUAAUUUUAUUUAAUUUAAUAAAAUGAUUUAAAAUUAAAAUAUGUACAUAUUGCCCGUCGCUUUCAUAUGAUUAUAAUAAAAUAUUUUAUAGAUUUUAAUUAUAAAAAGUUGAAAUAAGUCGUAACAAAGUAGAGGUACUGGAAAGUGUUUCUAGAAAGAA